rnacentral:rRNA from 1 species
UACGGGGGGGGCAAGCGUUGUUCGGAAUUACUGGGCGUAAAGGGCUCGUAGGUGGCCAACUAAGUCAGACGUGAAAUCCCUCGGCUUAACCGGGGAACUGCGUCUGAUACUGGAUGGCUUGAGUUUGGGAGAGGGAUGCGGAAUUCCAGGUGUAGCGGUGAAAUGCGCAGAUAUCAGGAGGAACACCGAUGGCGAAGGCAGGUCUCUGGGCCGAUACUGACGCUGAGGAGCGAAAGCGUGGGGGGCGAACAGG